rnacentral:pre_miRNA from 1 species
UAGGUACUCCCUCCGUCCCAAAAUUCUUGUCUUAGAUUUGUCUAGAUACGGAUGUAUCUAACACUAAAACGUAACUAGAUACAUCCGCAUUUAGACAAAUCUAAGACAAGAAUUUUGAGACGGAGGGAGUACUUG